rnacentral:rRNA from 1 species
GGAUGCGAUCAUACCAGCACUAAAGCACCGGAUCCCAUCAGAACUCUGAAGUUAAGCGUGCUUGGGCGAGAGUAGUACUAGGAUGGGUGACCUCCUCGGAAGUCCUCGUGUUGCAUUCC